GUUUAACGGCCGGUCAGGAACCCAACAAUUAGUCCCUUCUCGUCCGAGAGGAAACUCUGUGAGAAGAUGGGACCGUGAGCACUCUCUUUAACAAGGACAUUUCCUUUUCAGCGAAAGCAGCGCUCUGAUUUACCAAGUCUGGCGGACCGCAGCGCUUUAAAGGAAUGAGGUUCCAGCGGUCGCGCCAAGCAGCGUACGCAGCCUAUUUUAAGUUAUGCUACCUUCGCCACAGAAACCAAGAACGUUGUAAUGGUCCGGCAAGUGCCCACGUAUAAUUGUUCUCCAUCACUUACCCACUCUAGUUCGGGAACACCCUUGUCGCCGCCGUUCCGGUAACACCUCUCCAACGCUUUCGAUGCUUCUACUUCUUCGGGAACAAGACAAGAUGGCGCCCGAUUUGUCUCACCCGGAAGUAAAGAAUAAUAACAUCCGUUUGUCAUCUGAAGCCAUACCAUCUCUCAUCCAGGUUUGUGAACACGUGAUUGUGCGGAUUGACAUGUUUCGGCGCCAUUUUUUUUGUGGGCAAAACCAUCUCUACUCUGGUCAACACCGGGCAACUGAACCAUUCCUGCACGUUACUUUUUAACGUAGCUGGCGCCAUUCCCGACCCAUCUUUAUAGUGGCCAGAAAGCCAAGAACGUAAGUGUUCUACACAUAGGGCGCCUUCAAAUUUUUUACUUUAGCAACGUGAUCUUCCUUUAAGGGGAAGUAUGUUCCCUCCUAGAAACACUCCCGCCUUGGAGAAGGGGUUGAGUUCGCAACUCCACUUACAGACUACGGAGGAACCCCAGGGUCAAACCAAACCAAACCAAUUCUGGCCAGUUGCUUAGCGCAGUUCAAGUUACUUAGUGCGCUGGAAGCGGCAUUUCAGGCAAUCCAACUUCUGGCUCGAACCUUCUCGGAGUAUUCCAAGGAUGGAAUACUCUCACUUGAGCGCUGCCGAGGGUGCCGCUUGAGGAAAACGUGAGUUUGUGAAGAAUGUUUGUUGCAGAUACAGUUCCACCACUGUACAUUAAGUAUGUGGAAAACAGAAGAUAUCCUUUUGGUUCCUGGGUCUCCAGAACAGUAGGAGCAAACAUCCAAAUCUGAUAUAGCACUUCCAGAGAGCCUGGUCUUGGAGGAUAAAACUUUACCUUGAUGGGACUUUUGGCCCCGGUCCCUUAAGAGUUGGGAUUUGGGGUUGUACUGCAGCACAACUCAGCCUAUCCUAAUACAUAUGGGAAUGCAAACAUCUCAGAUAUUUCUUCUUGGGUGCAAUUUAAAAUACGUAUGAAAUGGCUUCAGAAGUGUCCAUGAACCUUCAAAAUUACAUACAAGAAUUAGGGAGAUACAUUUUUCUGGGAACAUACAGAUGUUAAGACUUCCCUUCUCCGUCUCUAUAUUGCCAGAAGAGAGGGCCCCAGAAUUAAAACCCCAUCCUUCCUACAACACUCAGCUUUCUCUUUCAGGAAUAUCAGUACUAAUAUCACCAUGCCUUUUAUCUCUAGGAUAUCUUCAUCCCCUGUACCUUAAUUUCUGCAUGACUUCAUAGGGAGUCCAUAUUGCUUGAUUUUUCUCCAUAUCAUUACCAUUGACAUAAAUUUUCCUUACAUUCUUAGAAUGUGUAUUUCCUCACCUUUUAGAUUUCUGGCUCUUAUGUUGACUGCUGUAUCCCUAGUACCUACCACACAACAGGUAUUCAACAAAUACUUUUUUUUUUUUGAGACAGUCUCUGUCACCCAGGCUGGAGUGCAGUGGUACUAUCUUGGCUCAGUGCAACCUCUGCCUCCCGGGUUCAAGCGAUUCUCCUGCCUCAGCCUCCCAAGUAGCAGGGAUUACAGGCCUGUGCCACCAUGCCCAGCUAAUUUUUGUAUUUUUAGUAGAGAUGGGUUUUUGUCAUGUUGGCCAGGCUGGUCUCGAACUCCUGGUCUCAGGUGAUUUGCCCACUUUGGCCACCCAAAGUGCUGGGAUUACAGGCAUGAGCCACUGUGCCUGGCCUAAAAAAUACUUACUAAAUGACUAAACAAAUAAAAGAUAGUCUCUAACUUUCAUCAUAAUCUCAAAGAGCUUCAUGAUCUGGAAGAAGUUUAGACACAAAUGGGUAGGCAAAGUAUUUCUUAAUUGCUGGUGCAAGACCUUACCCUUGUCUUAAUAAUUAUCCUGUCUAAGUAAUACACCUUUUAAGAAACCCCUGAAAGGAAGAUGAUCGUCCUUGGUAGAUACUGAAAUCUGAGGUAAAGUGGCCCAUAAACUGUUUUGAAAUAGAGAAUUUCUAAAAUAUGUAGGGUAUUUUGAAUAUAGCUGAGAAAGCUGCUAUGAACUGAAGGUUUACGUCCCCUACAACAUUCACAAAUCCCAAAUGUGAUGGUAUUUGGAGAUAGGGCCUUUGAGAAGUGAUUAGGUCAUGAGGAUGGAACCCUCAUGAAUGGGCUGCAUGGAAAAGGACCCACAGAGAUGCCUUGUACUUUUCCCAUGUGAGGACACAGCAAGAAAGCACUGUCUUUAUGAACAGAAGUGGGCCCUCACCAGACCCCAAGUCUGCUGGCACCUUGAUCUUGAAGUUCCCAGCUCCCAGAACUGUGAGAAAUAAAUUUUUGUUAAUACACCAC
rnacentral:lncRNA from 1 species